rnacentral:rRNA from 1 species
CCUACGGGCGGCAGCAGUGAGGAAUAUUGGUCAAUGGGCGCGAGCCUGAACCAGCCAAGUCGCGUGAGGGAAGACGGUCCUAUGGAUUGUAAACCUCUUUUGUCGGGGAGCAAAAGACGCCACGCGUGGCGUUCCGAGAGUACCCGAAGAAAAAGCAUCGGCUAACUCCGUGCCAGCAGCCGCGGUAAUACGGAGGAUGCGAGCGUUAUCCGGAUUUAUUGGGUUAAAAGGGUGCGCAGGCGGAGGAUCAAGUCAGCGGUAAAAUUGAGAGGCUCAACCUCUUCGAGCCGUUGAAACUGGUGUUCUUGAGUGAGCGAGAAGUAUGCGGAAUGCGUGGUGUAGCGGUGAAAUGCAUAGAUAUCACGCAGAACUCCGAUUGCGAAGGCAGCAUACCGGCGCUCAACUGACGCUCAUGCACGAAAGUGUGGGUAUCGAACAGGAUUAGAUACCCCGGUAGUC